rnacentral:rRNA from 1 species
UACGUAGGGUGCGAGCGUUGUCCGGAUUCAUUGGGCGUAAAGAGCUCGUAGGCGGUUCAGCAAGUCGGGUGUGAAACCUCCAGGCUCAACCUGGAGACGCCACCCGAUACUGCUGUGACUUGAGUCCGGUAGGGGACCACGGAAUUCCUGGUGUAGCGGUGAAAUGCGCAGAUAUCAGGAGGAACACCGGUGGCAAAGGCGGGUCUCUGGGCCGAAACUGACGCUGAGGAGCGAAAGCGUGGGGAGCGAACAGG